rnacentral:tRNA from 1 species
GCUUAUUUAGUUUAUAUUUAAAACAUUAGACUGUGGAACUAAAAAUAAUAUUAGGCAA